AGGCACGGUGGCAGCCCUUGGCUGAGAAUAAGAGAAUCUUUACCUCCGUCAUCACACCCAGAAAGACUUGGACUUACUGAAGCCAAGAGAGGCAAGUUAACAAUGUUAGACCAAAGAGGCCGGGAACAUGGGGUCUGAAACAUCAUGAGCUACACGGGACACAUUUUAUCAGGUAAUCACAUGUAAGUAUCAUGCACAAUAUGACCAUUUCAUUCUGUAACGUCAAUUCCAAUUCAUAGCAUGGGUAUGCCUUGCUAUUUUUCAGUGGUAUUCCAAAUAUGCUCAAGAAUAGCCGACUUUAAAAAAAUAUGAAUAGAGGACCAAAAAUACAAAGACAAAAAAACCAGUGUGUGAGUAUCUGCAGGGAUUUUACUUCAUGGUGUUAAUGAUGUGAGAUGAACUAUUGGAUGACUCAGUCAAGCUUGUCAGCCUAACUGCCAUUCCUACAGGUUCUAUUAUUGUGUUCUCAAAUCUCAACAAGCCUAGUAGAAAAGAAAAGACUCUAGGAAUCAGGUUACAUAAAGGGAAAAAAAAAACAGUGUGCUCUCUGGGAGCUGCAACCUAGUUAAUGUAUAAAUAAUGGCAAAUUUAUAUUAUAAAAUAUGUAUUAAACAUAGAGGAUGACUGUCAGGUAAGGCUGUGGCCCUAGUAGAUGAAUCUCUUUCUCAUACUCAUGAAACCCUUCAAAACAAUUGAUGGAUAUGGGAUCUGCUGAAAAUCCUUCCACUUUUUGGACUAAGAAUAUCAGACUCAAAUACUCAAAUAUUUUCCCGCAUGAGAGAAAUACUUCUCUAAGCUGUAACACGACAGCCCCUUCUAAACCUAGAAAGCUGAUUACUAAGCUAUCUGUGUUUGAACCAGCUCCCACAAAUGUUGCUUAUGAAAUAACUUUAUCUAGUUGAACUGAUAACAAUAGCUUUUGAAAUUAUAAUAUAACAAUAAGAAAAACAAAUCAAAAGUAAUUCAUUAGUCCCUAAAAAGGGCAUUUCCUUGUAAUGGUAGUAUGUCAUUUGGUUCUAGAUUGCAAUGGUAACAUUCCCUUGAGGUAGAAGAGCUUUUAUCUAAUAAUCUACAAUUUCUAUAUGAGUCUUUUUUAUCUGGAGCAGUAGUGAAUGGUCUUAAAGGAGCCCAGACUUUAUUUUGUGUAUAUCUUCUGGCACAUAUCACAGUUAAUGGAGCUCUUUAAGAUUUUCUCUAAUGAUGUUAAUCAACACAUUUUAUAGUCCUAAUCUGUAAUUUAAAUGGGAAUCUAAGAAUAAGAUAGCAUUUGGCUCAGAAGUAAAAUGUGGGAACACCCUGGGCACACUGAUUUAUUUUGG
rnacentral:lncRNA from 1 species